rnacentral:rRNA from 1 species
UACGUAGGAGACGAGCGUUGUCCGGAGUUACUGGGCGUAAAGGGUGCGUAGGCGGUCGGGUAAGUCUGGCGUGAAAUCUCCAAGCCUAACUUGGAAACUGCGUUGGAUACUAUCCGGCUCGAGGAAUGGAGGGGAGACUGGAAUACUUGGUGUAGCAGUGAAAUGCGUAGAUAUCAAGUGGAACACCAGUGGCGAAGGCGAGUCUCUGGACAUUUCCUGACGCUGAGGCACGAAAGCCAGGGGAGCAAACGGG